rnacentral:rRNA from 1 species
AUUGAACGCUGGCGGCAGGCCUAACACAUGCAAGUCGAGCGGAUGACGGGAGCUUGCUCCUUGAUUCAGCGGCGGACGGGUGAGUAAUGCCUAGAAAUCUGCCUGGUAGUGGGGGACAACGUUCCGAAAGGAGCGCUAAUACCGCAUACGUCCUACGGGAGAAAGUGGGGGAUCUUCGGACCUCACGCUAUCAGAUGAGCCUAGGUCGGAUUAGCUAGUUGGUGAGGUAAAGGCUCACCAAGGCGACGAUCCGUAACUGGUCUGAGAGGAUGAUCAGUCACACUGGAACUGAGACACGGUCCAGACUCCUACGGGAGGCAGCAGUGGGGAAUAUUGGACAAUGGGCGAAAGCCUGAUCCAGCCAUGCCGCGUGUGUGAAGAAGGUCUUCGGAUUGUAAAGCACUUUAAGUUGGGAGGAAGGGCAGUAAGUUAAUACCUUGCUGUUUUGACGUUACCGACAGAAUAAGCACCGGCUAACUCUGUG